rnacentral:piRNA from 1 species
UAGUGGUUUUCCAUUUGGGUGAC